UAUGUGAUCGUCUCUCGCAUAUCAAUAAGCGGAGGAAAAGAAACUAACAAGGAUUCCCCUAGUAACGGCGAGUGAAGCGGGAAGAGCUCAAAUUUGAAAUCUUAAAGGGUUUCCCUUUACGAAUUGUAGUUUAAAGAAGUGUUUUCUGUUGAGGUCUUGGUAAAAGUUCUUUGGAAUAGGACAUCAUAGAGGGUGAGAAUCCCGUAUUUGACCUUUACUUUCAACUUUGUGAUACACUUUCAAAGAGUCGGAUUGUUUGGGAAUGCAGUCCAAAAUGGGUGGUAAAUUUCAUCUAAAGCUAAAUAUUGGCGAGAGACCGAUAGCGAACAAGUACCGUGAGGGAAAGAUGAAAAGAACUUUGAAAAGAGAGUUAAACAGUACGUGAAAUUGUCAAAAGGGAAGCGUUUGACACCAGUGUUGUUUUUCUGAAAAUCAAUUAAAGAACUGUUUAUGCUAAGUUGUUUAGACUUUAUCAGCUAUACUGUUUAGUUUUGAGCUUUUCUUUAAUGCACUUUUCAGUUAACAAGUCAACAUCAAUUUCUUUUGCUGUAAAAAAGCUUGAGGAAGGUGGCUUGAGAUUCGUCUUAAGUGUUUAUAGCCUCUUGCCUAUGCAGUCGGAGAGAUUGAGGUCUGCAGCGUAGAUCCUUCGGGGCUAAAUGCAUUUGUGCUAAGUUAUAGCAUUUUAUAGACAACUUGUUGACUAUGAUUUGUCUUGUAGCUUACUCGCUUAUGUUAUUUUACCUACGCUUAGGAUGUUGAGCGCAUGUCUCUCUCU
rnacentral:rRNA from 1 species